UGCGUAGGCGGAAUAUUAAGUCAGUGGUGAAAUCCUGCGGCUCAACCGUAGAACUGCCAUUGAUACUGAUAUUCUUGAAUGUAGUUGAGGUAGGCGGAAUGUGUAAUGUAGCGGUGAAAUGCUUAGAUAUUACACAGAACACCGAUUGCGAAGGCAGCUUACUAACCUAUGAUUGACGCUGAGGCACGAAAGCGUGGGGAGCGAACAGGAUUAGAUACCCUGGUAGUCC
rnacentral:rRNA from 1 species